rnacentral:piRNA from 1 species
UGGCUAAUCGGAAGCCCUUCCAACUUCGAG